AGCUCAGAAAUACUCUCCCGUUCAUCGGUGAUGCUAAAUGAGCCCCCGUUUCAAACACAGCAGAAGGAGAGCAGAGCUCUUUGGCAUGGAAAUGGAAACAACAAGCGAACAAACAAAAAAAAAAGCUGGAAACUCAGGAAGGUAUGAUGCCUGGAACAGGAGAAGAACAGCACGCACUGCAAGGAUGACUGAAGGGAACAGACCCCAGGAGGAUGUCCCUAAGGCUCUGAAUUCAUGUGCCACGGAACCACCCCACCCUGAGAUUUCUUGUUAUGGGUUAUUUAACCUUUUAAUGUUUAAGUGACAGUUUUUAGUUACUUGCAGCUGAAAGCAUUGUGUAUCUUGUACACAGGUCAACAACAAAACAGUAGUAUUCUAUGCAAAAUAA